CGGGACGGGUGAGUAAUGUCUGGGAAACUGCCUGAUGGAGGGGGGUAACUACUGGAAACGGUAGCUAAUACCGCAUAACGUCGCAAGACCAAAGAGGGGGACCUUCGGGCCUCUUGCCAUCGGAUGUGCCCAGAUGGGAUUGGCUAGUAGGUGGGGUAACGGCUCACCUAGGCGACGAUCCCUAGCUGGUCUGAGAGGAUGACCAGCCACACUGGAACUGAGACACGGUCCAG
rnacentral:rRNA from 1 species